GGGCAGGUGUCGGAAUGGCAGACGAUGGGGACUUAAAAUCCCCCGCUCGUAAGAGCGUGAGGGUUCAACUCCCUCCCUGCCCA
rnacentral:tRNA from 1 species